GUUGGGUAGGGGAGCGUUCUGUAAGCCUGCGAAGGUGUACUGUGAGGUAUGCUGGAGGUAUCAGAAGUGCGAAUGCUGACAUAAGUAACGAUAAUGCGGGUGAAAAACCCGCACGCCGGAAGACCAAGGGUUCCUGUCCAACGUUAAUCGGGGCAGGGUGAGUCGACCCCUAAGGCGAGGCUGAAAAGCGUAGUCGAUGGGAAACGGGUUAAUAUUCCCGUACUGGUGGUAACUGCGAUGGGGGAACGGAGAAGGCUAGGUUGUCCGGGCGACGGUCGUCCCGGUUCAAGCAGGUAGGCAGAGUGAUUAGGCAAAUCCGGUCACUUAAUGCUGAGAUGUGAUGACGAACCACUAAGGUGGUGAAGCAAUUGAUGCCCCGCUUCCAGGAAAAGCCUCUAAGCUUCAGGUUACCAACAAUCGUACCCCAAACCGACACAGGUGGUCAGGUAGAGAAUACUCAGGCGCUUGAGAGAACUCGGGUGAAGGAACUAGGCAAAAUGGUGCCGUAACUUCGGGAGAAGGCACGCUGGCGGUAGGUAAAGUCCCUUGCGGACGGCGCUGAAGCCAGUCGAAGAUACCAGCUGGCUGCAACUGUUUAUUAAAAACACAGCACUGUGCAAACACGAAAGUGGACGUAUACGGUGUGACGCCUGCCCGGUGCUGGAAGGUUAAUUGAUGGGGUUAGCGCAAGCGAAGCUCCUGAUCGAAGCCCCAGUAAACGGCGGCCGUAACUAUAACGGUCCUAAGGUAGCGAAAUUCCUUGUCGGGUAAGUUCCGACCUGCACGAAUGGCGUAAUGAUGGCCAGGCUGUCUCCACCCGAGACUCAGUGAAAUUGAACUCGCUGUGAAGAUGCAGUGUACCCGCGGCAAGACGGAAAGACCCCGUGAACCUUUACUAUAGCUUGACACUGAACAUUGAGCCUUGAUGUGUAGGAUAGGUGGGAGGCUUUGAAGUGUGGACGCCAGUCUGCAUGGAGCCAACCUUGAAAUACCACCCUUUAACGUUUGAUGUUCUAACCUAGGCCCAUAAACUGGGUCGGGGACCGUGUCUGGUGGGUAGUUUGACUGGGGCGGUCUCCUCCUAAAGAGUAACGGAGGAGCACGAAGGUUGGCUAAGCAUGGUCGGACAUCAUGCGGUUAGUGCAAAGGCAUAAGCCAGCUUGACUGCGAGAGUGACGGCUCGAGCAGGUACGAAAGUAGGUCUUAGUGAUCCGGUGGUUCUGAAUGGAAGGGCCAUCGCUCAACGGAUAAAAGGUACUCCGGGGAUAACAGGCUGAUACCGCCCAAGAGUUCAUAUCGACGGCGGUGUUUGGCACCUCGAUGUCGGCUCAUCACAUCCUGGGGCUGAAGUAGGUCCCAAGGGUAUGGCUGUUCGCCAUUUAAAGUGGUACGCGAGCUGGGUUUAGAACGUCGUGAGACAGUUCGGUCCCUAUCUGCCGUGGGCGUUGGAAGAUUGAGAGGGGUUGCUCCUAGUACGAGAGGACCGGAGUGAACGCACCACUGGUGUUCGGGUUGUCAUGCCAAUGGCAUUGCCCGGUAGCUAAGUGCGGAAGAGAUAACCGCUGAAAGCAUCUAAGCGGGAAACUUGCCUCGAGAUGAGUCUUCCCUGUCGCUUUAAGCGACCUAAAGGAACGUUUAAGACUAAGACGUUGAUAGGCUGGGUGUGUAAGCGUAGCGAUACGUUGAGCUAACCAGUACUAAUGAACCGUGAGGCUUAACCUG
rnacentral:rRNA from 1 species